rnacentral:rRNA from 1 species
AGUGAACGCUGGCGGUAGGCCUAACACAUGCAAGUCGAACGGCAGCACAGUAAGAGCUUGCUCUUACGGGUGGCGAGUGGCGGACGGGUGAGGAAUACAUCGGAAUCUACUUUUUCGUGGGGGAUAACGUAGGUAAACUUACGCUAAUACCGCAUACGACCUACGGGUGAAAGCAGGGGAUCUUCUGACCUUGCGCGAUUGAAUGAGCCGAUGUCGGAUUAGCUAGUUGGCGGGGUAAAUGCCCACCAAGGCGACGAUCCGUAGCUGGUCUGAGAGGAUGGUCAGCCACACUGGAACUGAGACACGGUCCAGACUCCUACGGGAGGCAGCAGUGGGGAAUAUUGGACAAUGGGCGCAAGCCUGAUCCAGCCAUACCGCGUGGGUGAAGAAGGCCUUCGGGUUGUAAAGCCCUUUUGUUGGGAAAGAAAAGCAGCAGGUUAAUACCCCGCUGUUCUGACGGUACCCAAAGAAUAAGCACCGGCUAACUUCGUG